ensembl:lncRNA MAP4K3-DT MAP4K3 divergent transcript
AGGCCGGGGCCGGCGGCGGAACAGCUUGGGACCCGAAACGCCUCGGCUUUUCUGCGGACCCGCGCCCGGCCGCUGCCGCCGGACGCUUGAAAAGGAAGAAGAGGAUUUAUCUGACUCAACUGGAGAUGGCUCCCUUCCCUUAUUUAUUGUUGCAUCCUGAAGCUUCCCCCAUGCUGGGCUCAGUGUGAACAAACAGCGCGGGAGAAUGCAACCACUGCAGAGGCAUAUGUUUGAGAUACCUGGCCACUGGAGGUCAUCUCGUCUACUAUAUUCACCGCAGAUAAAGAAUGAAAAGAGAAUACACAACCUUGUGAUUGCUAGCAGUGAAAGCUCAGAGUUAUGACAUAACAAGUGGUUGAUCAUACUGUAAAACUCAAAUGUGAAGGGAAGGCUGGAACCUACUGGAAACUGAAGAUCUAACGAAAAGAAGGAACUUUUAGGAACUAGCAGAGACUUCAAAAUGUUGAGAACUCUCUUUUUUCAUAAGAGAAGAUAAAAACUCUGAUGGUCACACUCAUAAAGACAAAAAACAAAUAAAAAACAAACAAAAACUCAGAAUCACAAGAGCAAAGAAAAUGUAGGUAAAACAAUAACAGAAGAGGUAAAGAAAUUUAUGUGAAUUGGGACACUCUGGGGCACAGAACAGAAGAGGAGAAGAAACAUGAAAGUAAUGCUCUGCACAAGGAUGUCUGACUGUCCUUGAUUCCAAGGGCAUUUAAAAUUAGCCACUGGAUGAGAACCAUGAAAUGCCAUGACUCUUACAGCUCCCAUGAAAGACAUUGGAUGGAACUUAUCCUAACUGGACCAAAUUCUAAAAAAUUUUACAUGAUAUUAUAAUGAGUUGAAAGUUGAAAAAAAAAAGCUCUUCUAGAUUACCAAGAAUAAAACACAAAUUUCUAGCUGACUGAAUUAAUUCUCAUCUCUCUAUAGAAAGAUCAUAGAAAUUUUUUUUAUCAUGCAAAGAAAUAGCUAAAAAUUUACAAAAAUAUAGACGUGCAUUAGGCAGCUCAUGAAUAAAUGCGUUUUUUCCUUUUUUCCUCCAGAAUUUUGUGAUGUUUAUGGUACUUUUCGGCUUUUAAAAUUUUGUAUUUAAUCAGGAUUUAUUACUUCAUUGUAAGUAAAUAUUAAAUUUGUACUCCAUCUUUGUUUGUAAUUUUGUAUAUUUUUCAGUAAAAAGGACUCCCCAGAUUAUGUAAGCUUUAGGCCCCACAAAAUCUAGGCCUGUUGCUGUAUCCUUUCUAGAGCAGUGUUUCUCAAACUUCAAUGUGCAUUUGAAUCUCCUGGGGCUCCUGUUAAAAUAUAGCUUCUGAGAUGAUGCAUUUCUAACAGACUCCCAGGGCUGACACUGCCCAUCUGGGGACCACACUUUGAGAAUCAAAUAUCUAGAACAAUGGUUCUUACCUGGCUGUGCAUUGGGAUCAUUUAUAGUGCUUUUGGAAAAUACAUUGUGUCCAGGUCCCACCCAGUUCUCAGUAGGCUUGGAAUGGGGUCCUACACUUUUUUUUUUUAACUCCACAGUUUGGGAAAGAAGCCUUUUCAUAUAUUGUUGGUGGGAAUACAAAUUGAUACAGCCAUUUUUGAGCUUGAUUUGGCAAUAUCUUCCUUGGAGAAAUCAAAAGCCAGUUGGCAAGCCAGUCUGGAAAAGGCAGUUUACUGAUUCCCACCCGAGGGUCACAAAGCAGGUAUAGAAGGAUGGGCUUUGGCUGAAAUAUAUGAUGGGUACAGGUAUAUUCUCUAUAAUCCAGUAUUUCCACUGCUGAAAACGUAUCCUAGUAACAUUAUACAUAUCAAGCCUACAUAUAAAGUUGGUCAAUUCCAUAUUAUUUGUAGUAGGGGAAAACUGAAAGCAGUCUACAUGCCCAUCAAUAGAUUAUUCAAAUUAUGGAACAGUUUUCCAAUGACAAAACAAUAGCUAAUCUUAGUUAAGCAAUUAUUAUGUUAUGUAAGGUAGACAUUGUUCUACCUUAUUUAUAAGUAUUAAGUUAGUUUUUAUAACUAUCAUAUUUCCAUUUUACAAAUGACAUAAUUUAUAUUAUUGACAUGGGAAGAUGUCCAAGGAUAUAAUAAGCAAAAAGCAAGUAGCAAAACAUUAUGUAUAUUAUGCAUUACCAUUAUAAUAUACUAAAAAGUAAUGCACUUGAUUCUGAUGCACACUCCCCAGUAGGUAACAACUUAUCUAGUGUAAAAAUGAAAGAACAUUCUGGGCCGGGCACGGUGGCUCAUGCCUGUAAUCCCAGCACUUUGGGAGGCCCAGGUGGGCGGAUCACAAGGUCAGGAGAUCGAGACCAUCCUGGCUAACAUGGUGAAACCCCGUCUCUACUAAAAAUACAAAAAAAAAAUUAGCUGGGCGUGGUGGCCGGCGCCUGUAGUCGCAGCUACUCGGGAGGCUGAGGCAGGAGAAUGGCGUGAACCCGGGAGGCGGAGCUUUCAGUGAGCGGAGAUAGCGCCAUUGCACUCCAGCCUGGGCGACAGAGCGA